AUGGAGGAAACAACGCCAGAUCCCGAGUUCGUGGACGUGGACCAGGGCUUGACUUUGGCAUGCAUUGCCUUCCUCUGCCUGCUGCUGGUGGCCAUGAUCAUCCGCUGUGCCAAAGUCAUCAUGGACCCGUACAGCGCCAUCCCCACAUCCACCUGGGAGGAGCAGCAUCUAGACGACUAGCAUGAUCUGCAGGUCUGAAAACAUAGACUGUCUAAUGAAGGCACACAGGCAUGUGGAACUUAAGACAACCCUCUAUCGAGGUUGCAAGGUCAAGUGAAAUGGACUUACUCCAAUAGUGAAGCACACCAACUUAAGACUCUACAAGCUCAGAAACUACCUACAGAACCAGGACCAGGCAGAACAACCCAGUACUGCACACAGCAACAUAUCAAAUACAUGAACACAACGUUCACUAAAGCAGUUUGAGAAUGGGCAUGUGAAUGUUCGAUUUUUGGGGUAACCUUUUCAGUUUUGUACAUUUUUCUAAUAAUCGUGAUGGAUGAUGUGUAAAUUUAAUGUAUGCCAUUCAGUGAAAUGAAGCCUGGCUUGGAGGCAUGCUAACAAAUCUACUCAAAAGGACUACUCAACCUUGAAAUUAUAGUAAUUUAUAUCAGUUUACAGUAAAGUGAGAAAUGCAAGCAAGGUAGCAUGAAUGCAAUCCAAGAUAAGGCUUGUGCCAAUAAUCAGUUAACCGACAUAUCAUGAUAAUCAACAAGCACCAAGUCAUUGCUUUUCCAUUACUCUUUGAGCUGUUUGCCUGUUUUAUUAGGAGAGAAGCAUGGACAUUUGUAGACAACACUGUAUUUUUUUCUAGAAGGCAUUACAGUUUGAAAAACAAAGAUAUGUAGCUUCAAAGUUUUUUUUUAUUA